rnacentral:lncRNA from 1 species
GUAUUCAAUUGAAAUUUUGAGGGAUUUUAAUUCUUUUAAUGAAUCUAGGGGUAUUCAAUCAGGAUUUUAAGUGAUUCUCUGAAAUUCAAAGUGUAUUCAAUUAGAAUUUUAAGAUAGUUUAUUAAAAUCCUUAGAAAUCCGGAUGUAUUCAAUGAGGAUUUUAAAGAAGUUUAUAACAUUCCAAGUGUAUUCAAUUAGAAAUUGAUUUUAAAGAAUUUGAGAAAGUUGAGGAAUUAGAGAGAAUUGGAGAGAUUUUGUAGUGUAUUUUAAGCAUCUACAAAUCUCACCUCUUCCCAUGAGAUUUUAAGGGAAUUAAAUCAAAAUUUUAUAGAGAAUCUCUAUAAAUCAAUUAAGGGGGUUGUAUUCAAUUGAGAAUUUGAGAUAUUUUAAUGGAUUUAUAAAUCCAUGGAUUUUUAUGGAGUUUAAUUGAUUUGUAGAGAUUCCAUAUAAAAUUUUGAUUCAAUUUCCUCGAAAUCUCAUGGGAAGAGGUGAGAUUUGUGGAUGCUUAAAAUACACUGCAAAAUCUCUCCAAUUCCCUCUAAUUCCUCAACUUUCUCAAAUUCUUUAAAAUCAAUUUCUAAUUGAAUACACUUGGAAUGUUAUAAACUUCUUUAAAAUCCUCAUUGAAUACAUCCGGAUUUCUAAGGAUUUUAAUAAACUAUCUUAAAAUUCUAAUUGAAUACACCUUGAAUUCAGAGAAUCACUUCAAAUCCUAAUUGAAUACCUCUAGAUUCAUUAAAAGAAUUAAAAUCCUUCAAAAUUCCAAUUGAAUAGAUUUUAGGAUUUGAUGGUGGAUGGAAAAAUGUAAUGCAAACAUGUAUUGGAAAACAUAGUAGUAGUUACUUACUUUUAGGAUCGGUGCAAUAUGACUAAGGGCUGGUUUGAGGUUGCUUAAAAAAAAAAAAAAAUUCUUAAAAGAGUUUGGGCUUUUAUUGUAUUUGGUAAUUAAAAAAAGUGUUUAUUUUUCAAAAUCAUGGGUUCAAAACAGCAGAAAGCAGAAGGAGCUCUACAAAUGCUUAAAAAAAAAAAACGAUUUUUUCAUUGGAUGCAGGUGAAUGAUACCAAUUUCUGAAAGAGUUUUGAAGAGUUUGGGCAUCCGACUCUUUAUUUUGAUCUAACUUUAGAAACACAAACCGGUGCAAUAUGAGAUCUCCAUGCUUCACAAUUGCUCAGGGAAACUAGUAUGAUCUUGUCCAAAAUGUCCUUCCCAUGUGACAAAAUUGUGUUAUCAACAACACUUUUCUUGCCUCAAAUGUUAUUAGGAAAUAUCGUACCUGAUGAAAACCCUCAGUAUUUCUCAAUCAUAUACGAUCUUGAUCAUGAGCGUUUUCAUUGUUACGAUACCCCUUACAUCAUUUCAGAUUCGUCGAGUGCCAAUGCAUCAUUUUCUCAAAUGGGAAAGACAUUUUGGAAAAGAUCCACACUGGGAGAGAGGACUAAGGCUAACAGAAAAUUGCAGACGGAUAUUGAGAAGAAAGGACACUGGCUAGAUUUUAUAGUAGAAACAUGAUGUUGCUUAGACGUAACGUAUAUUGAGCAAGGAGAUGUAUGUGAAAAUUAUAAAAUGAGAUUUCAUUUUUUUUUUUGGGGCAAAAAAUGAUAUUUUAUUUGAUUACCAUUUAUAAAAAAUAACAAAAAUGUUUGACAAUAUCUCACUCAUAAUUUAUUUUCUUUUCCAAAUUGGAUUAUCUACAUAAUGUGCGUCCGCAUCCAAUGUCCCAAAUCCAAUUAGAUAAUUUUUUUUUUGUCAUCCAAUUGUAUGGAACAAAUCGACGGUGUGAAUACUAAGUAAUAUAUUCAUGACAAAUUAUCUUCUAUUCGAACAAUUUUUUAUAUGGAUGAUCUUCAUAUGAAGAUUAACAAGUUGAACGAUUCUGAUUAUAGAGUUUAUAGAAUGGAAAUACAUUCUUUGCAGAAGGUGGGAUACGUGCAUUCCCCCAUGAGAAAAACGCAAGUCUUAUUCAAUAUUGUGAAGCCAAAAAUAAUCAAGAGGCGACACGUGAAUUUUUGGGUAAAAAUGACAAAGUUACCCCUGAGACACACCGAUUUUCCUACACGCAAGCAGUGGAGAAUCAACCAAAAAAUAGGUAACAAGUUAAAAUUUAUCUCAUCCAUCUUUACUCUAUAUCCUCUACAAAGAAAUUAUUCCAUAACCUCCCAUAUAAAUUAAUUAGGCAAAUUAAUGGAUUAAUUCCCAAUUAAUCCAUUAAAUCACCAAAUUAAAUCACCCAUUUUUCACACAAAAAAGCUCAAGGGCCAGCCACCUCCUUGUGCUAUAUAUAUGUCAAAACUCCCAAAAAUUCUCUAAACACUUUUUCUCUCUAAUUUCUAACUUUGGCAUUGAAGGUUUUUUGGCCAAAGCCCCCCCCAUUCAUCGUGGGCGCGUGAGGCUCUUGGCCUUGACCAAAGGUGUUAAUUGUUUUGUAGGUGUAAUUUUGUCAAAGAAGGAGAAGCAGAAAAUUUGCAUCCACAAAUUGGUGCUUUCAUUGAGAGUGGAGAUUCACAUUUGUAGAAGACUCUCGCGUAAAAAGGUUUUUUCUCUAUUUUCUCUAUUUUCUAGUCCACUUGUAUUUUUCGUCUGUUCUUAUUAUUAGAAUUUUUUAUUUGCCAAGAUUCUUUGAUAAAACGUAAAAGAGAAAUACAAUGGCUAGAAAUUUAAAAAAUUCCACAAGUGAAAAUUCCAAUAUUCAAGAAAUGAGACCGCGACGAUCCACGAGACUAAACAUGAUCUUAGGGGGAGCGGCACCACCACCACCACAAGGCUCCACCAUGGCAACCACCG